GCAUAUCAAUAAGCGGAGGAAAAGAAACUAACAAGGAUUCCCCUAGUAACGGCGAGUGAAGCGGGAAGAGCUCAAAUUUGAAAUCUAGUAGCCUUCGGCUGCUCGAGUUGUAAUCUAGAGAAGUGUUUUCCGUGCCGGCCCAUGUACAAGUCCCUUGGAACAGGGCGUCAUAGAGGGUGAGAAUCCCGUCCUUGACAUGGACCCCCGGUGCUCUGUGAUACACUUUCAACGAGUCGAGUUGUUUGGGAAUGCAGCUCAAAAUGGGUGGUGAAUUCCAUCUAAAGCUAAAUAUUGGCGAGAGACCGAUAGCGAACAAGUACCGUGAGGGAAAGAUGAAAAGCACUUUGGAAAGAGAGUUAAACAGUACGUGAAAUUGUUGAAAGGGAAACGAUUGAAGUCAGUCAUGCUCUUUGGUAUUUAUAUCAUUGAGUGGGGUCAACAUCAGUUUUGAGCGAUGGAUAAAGGCACUAGGAAGGUAGCACUCUCGGGUGAACUUAUAGCCUAGCGUCAUAUACAUUGUUUGGGACUGAGGAACGCAGCAUGCCUUUAUGGCCGGGAUUCGUCCACGUACAUGCUUAGGAUGUUGACAUAAUGGCUUUAAACGACCCGUCUUGAAACACGGACC
rnacentral:rRNA from 2 species